UGUGGGUGGUUCAAUAGGAGCUGGACAACAGAACUCAUGUGGCCUCAAUGGCUUUCCCUGCCAAAGGGUCUGUGGAAUGCAGACCCCGUUGCACAUGCGCUUCUCCAAGGACUCAGCGAUGACACAGAAAGAGAGCUCUCAGGGAAUGCUGAAGGCUUGUCUUGGGCAAGCAAAACUGUCAUUUUGUCCUUGUUUAUUUGUAUUUGUCUUCAUGUCCCUGGUGAUACUUUUUUCUUUCUUUGUUGCCAUUUUCGUUUGCUGAAGUGACCUGGGCUGCCCUUGGAAACCCUGAUGAACCAAUGAAAUUACCCCAGCUAAAGAUUCAACCCAGUUCAGCCUGGACCAGAUUGGAUUGCGUAAGGAAUGCUGUGCCCUCAUCGAGAAUAUUUUUUUUUAAGCAUGCAGGCGUGACGGCAAGGAGGUCAACAAGCAUUAAGAGAAAAACAUGUCCCUAGUCAUGCGUGCACUUGAUGGAGCAAAGAAGAUGGAGAGAAGAAAAAAGAAAGAAAGAAAAUCUUUUUCAUUAUCUUUGGUUUCAUAAAUUUUCUCCCACAUGAAGCUGGAAAGAGAGAGGCCCCUGUGUGAAUGCAGUGUUUAUUUUAAGGCCUCAAUGAUGCCUUUGUUGGGGAUCUUCACAUUGACAAAACAGCUGCUAGCCUGUGGAGGUCUAUGAUGGAGGAUUCACAUUAAAGCUUCCAGGGUCACUUGUCUGUCUGUCCCCUUUGGAACCGAAGAUGAAAAUUUAAGGAUGGGUGUUUUGGUAGGAAUUGGAGCAUGGCCCAUUUGUCUUUGGUUAAAACUGACACACAUACGAGGAUUUAUCAAGCGUUACUCAACACAAUUAUUCAGCUAAACUCUGAGCUGUCUCACAUAGACUUCUGCACAGGGUGUGGCCCAUAGUUUACUCUGCUGACCCUGGUUGCUUUUCUGAAAAAGUUUGAUCACGUCUCGAUGCCAAGCCUCUGUAGUGAAUGUAGAUAACAUAAUUUCUAUGUAGAUAAUAUCAAAUAAAACUUUAAAACUUUACGUUGCGAAAAGUGAA